rnacentral:snoRNA from 1 species
CGCACCUAAAAGCGUUUUCUUGCCAGCCCGUUAAAUGCUCUUGAAAAUCGUAGAUGUGUGCCAGAGCAAAGCUCAGUUGCAAGUGAUUCGGCCGAUCUUAAUGGCAGAUAUCCAUAUAGCUGACAACAAGU